CCUACGGGUGGCAGCAGUAGGGAAUCUUUCACAAUGGGCGAAAGCCUGAUGGAGCAACGCCGCGUGCAGGAUGAAGGCCUUCGGGUUGUAAACUGCUUUUAUAAGCGAGAAAUAUGAUGGUAACUUAUGAAUAAGGAUCGGCUAACUACGUGCCAGCAGCCGCGGUCAUACGUAGGAUCCGAGCAUUAUCCGGAGUGACUGGGUGUAAAGAGUUGCGUAGGUGGCAUAAUAAGUAGCUAGUGAAAUCUGGUGGCUCAACCAUUCAGACUAUUAGCUAAACUGUUAAGCUCGAGACCGUUAGGGGUAACUGGAAUUUCUAGUGUAGGAGUGAAAUCCGUAGAUAUUAGAAGGAACACCAAUAGCGUAGGCAGGUUGCUGGGCUUUUACUGACGCUGAGGCUCGAAAGUGUGGGGAGCAAACAGGAUUAGAUACCCUAGUAGUC
rnacentral:rRNA from 1 species